GCUUGGUGGUUAUAGAGGAGAUGUAACACCUGAGCCCAUUCCGAACUCAGAAGUGAAGAGCUCCAUCGCCGAUGGUACUGUGUCUUAAGGCAUGGGAGAGUAGGAUGUUGCCAAGCUA
rnacentral:rRNA from 1 species